GAACAGAACAGAGGAAGAGAAGAAGCUCAAAAUAUGGCGGCAGAGUCAUCAUUGAGGGUGGCGACGACCACUCUUUGCAACCUCAAUGGGUCUCAGAGAAGACCAACCCCUCUCUCUCCGCUUCGCUUCAUGGGUUUUCGCCCUCGACCUUCUCACUCUCUCACUUCCUCUUCCCUCUCACACUUUUUCGGGAGCACACGCAUUAACUCCAAUACUCACUUUCCACGCCAACAUGCUCCCAGAAGACCCUUUUCUGUUUUCGCCAUGGCCGCUGAUGGUAUUUAUCUCCUUUUCUCUAAUAAUUUGUUUUAUUUUUUUCUAACUUCCUUUCUGCAUCGCGACUACUCUAAUGUUUUGAAGUGGACUUUGAUUCUCGAGGGAAAUCGAAAUGAAUGUUACUGGCACACUUCUUUUUCUACAGUUUCCGGUUUUCGUUUGGUUUGGUUCAAUUCUGUAUCGUGCUUAAUAUUUGUGUUAUCCUUGAAUUUCGGCUUCAGUUGUGAUAUUACGGAGAAAACCAUAAUUUGUCUGUUCAAUUGAGGUUUUAGGUUAGCUAAGGUGUCUUUAAAGAUAAUGUUUUUUCGUAUUUUGGUCCAAUUUUAUUCUGUAAGACUGUGAAAUGUGGUUUGUUUUCUUUCAUCCUUUUGGAAAUGACCCUUUCUAACUUUGCUUCCAGAAUCAAAGAGGAGUGUUCCACUGAAUGAUUAUCGCAACAUAGGUAUCAUGGCUCACAUAGAUGCUGGAAAGACUACUACGACUGAACGAAUUUUGUAUUAUACCGGAAGGAACUACAAAAUUGGAGAAGUGCAUGAGGGAACUGCAACCAUGGACUGGAUGGAACAAGAACAAGAAAGAGGGAUUACCAUUACUUCUGCUGCAACCACUACAUUUUGGAAUAAGCACCGGAUCAACAUUAUUGAUACUCCCGGUCAUGUCGACUUCACCUUAGAAGUGGAGCGAGCUCUUAGGGUGUUGGAUGGAGCUAUAUGCUUGUUUGACAGUGUUGCUGGUGUGGAACCACAAUCAGAGACUGUGUGGAGGCAGGCAGACAAAUAUGGGGUUCCACGAAUUUGUUUUGUCAACAAAAUGGACCGUCUUGGAGCAAACUUUUAUCGAACAAGAGACAUGAUAGUAACAAAUUUGGGUGCUAAACCACUUGUAAUUCAGUUACCAAUUGGUUCAGAAGAUAGUUUUAAGGGAGUUAUAGACCUUGUUAGGAUGAAAGCUAUAGUUUGGUCAGG
rnacentral:lncRNA from 1 species